UUCCGGGUAGCUCAGAUGGUAAAGAAUCUGCCUGCAAUGCAGGAGACCUUGGUUUGAUUCCUAGGUCGGGAA
rnacentral:tRNA from 1 species